rnacentral:rRNA from 1 species
UGGGGAAUUUUGGACAAUGGGCGAAAGCCUGAUCCAGCAAUGCCGCGUGUGUGAAGAAGGCCUUCGGGUUGUAAAGCACUUUUGUCCGGAAAGAAAUCCUUGGCUCUAAUACAGUCGGGGGAUGGCGGUACCGGAAGAAUAAGCACCGGCUAACUACGUGCCAGCAGCCGCGGUAAUACGUAGGGUGCAAGCGUUAAUCGGAAUUACUGGGCGUAAAGCGUGCGCAGGCGGUUUGCUAAGACCGAUGUGAAAUCCCCGGGCUCAACCUGGGAACUGCAUUGGUGACUGGCAGGCUAGAGUAUGGCAGAGGGGGGUAGAAUUCCACGUGUAGCAGUGAAAUGCGUAGAGAUGUGGAGGAAUACCGAUGGCGAAGGCAGCCCCCUGGGCAAUACUGACGCUCAUGCACGAAAGCGUGGGGAGCAAACAGGAUUAGAUACCCUGGUAGUCCACGCCCUAAACGAUGUCAACUAGUUGUUGGGGAUUCAUUUCCUAGUAACGUAGCUAACGCGUGAAGUUGACCGCCUGGGGAGUACGGUCGCAAGAUUAAAACUCAAAU